rnacentral:rRNA from 1 species
AUUGAACGCUGGCGGCAGGCCUAACACAUGCAAGUCGAGCGGAUGAAGGGAGCUUGCUCCUGGAUUCAGCGGCGGACGGGUGAGUAAUGCCUAGGAAUCUGCCUGGUAGUGGGGGAUAACGUCCGGAAACGGGCGCUAGUACCGCAUACGUCCUGAGGGAGAAAGUGGGGGAUCUUCGGACCUCACGCUAUCAGAUGAGCCUAGGUCGGAUUAGCUAGUUGGUGGGGUAAAGGCCUACCAAGGCGACGAUCCGUAACUGGUCUGAGAGGAUGAUCAGUCACACUGGAACUGAGACACGGUCCAGACUCCUACGGGAGGCAGCAGUGGGGAAUAUUGGACAAUGGGCGAAAGCCUGAUCCAGCCAGGCCGCGUGUGUGAAGAAGGUCUUCGGAUUGUAAAGCACUUUAAGUUGGGAGGAAGGGCAGUAAGUUAAUACCUUGCUGUUUUGACGUUACCUAAAGAAUAAGCACCGGCUAACUUCGUG